AGAGUUUGAUCCUGGCUCAGGAUGAACGCUGGCGGCGUGCCUAACACAUGCAAGUCGAACGGACCUGACUUGAAACCUAGUGAUUGUCAGGUUAGUGGCGGACGGGUGAGUAACGCGUGGAUAACCUGCCGUAUGCAGGGGGAUAACAGCUGGAAACAGCUGCUAAUACCGCAUAAGCGCACGGUACCGCAUGGUAUUGUGUGAAAAGAUUUAUCGGCAUACGAUGGAUCCGCGUCCGAUUAGCCGGUUGGCGGGGUAACGGCCCACCAAAGCAACGAUCGGUAGCCGGCCUGAGAGGGCGGACGGCCACAUUGGGACUGGGACACGGCCCAAACUCCUACGGGAGGCAGCAGUGGGGAAUAUUGCACAAUGGGGGAAACCCUGAUGCAGCGACGCCGCGUGAGUGAAGAAGUAUUUCGGUACGUAAAGCUCUAUCAGCAGGGAAGAAAAUGACGGUACCUGAUUAAGAAGCCCCGGCUAACUACGUGCCAGCAGCCGCGGU
rnacentral:rRNA from 1 species